rnacentral:rRNA from 1 species
UACGGAGGAUCCGGGCGUUAUCCGGAUCUAUUGGGUUUAAAGGGAGCGUAGGCGGCCUAUUAAGUCAGGGGUGAAAGACGGUGGCUUAACUAUCGCAGUGCCUUUGAUACUGAUGGGCUUGAAUAUACUUGAGGUAGGCGGAAUGUGACAAGUAGCGGUGAAAUGCAUAGAUAUGUCACAGAACACCAAUUGCGAAGGCAGCUUACUAAGGUAUGAUUGACGCUGAGGCACGAAAGCGUGGGGAU